rnacentral:rRNA from 1 species
CCUACGGGUGGCAGCAGUGAGGAAUAUUGGUCAAUGGACGAGAGUCUGAACCAGCCAAGUAGCGUGAAGGAUGACUGCUCUAUGGGUUGUAAACUUCUUUUAUAAAGGAAUAAAACGAGGCACGUGUGCAUUUAUGCGUGUACUUUAUGAAUAAGGAUCGGCAAACUCCGUGCCAGCAGCCGCGGUAAUACGGGGGAUCUGAGGGUUAUCCGGAUUUGGUGGGUUAAAAGGGUGCGCAGGCGGAGUGGCAAGUGAGUGGUAAAAUUGCGGGGCUAAAACCCGUACUGCCGUUGAAAAUGCAUCCCUUGAGUGCGCGAGAAGUAUUCGGAAUGCGUGGGGUAGCGGUGAAAUGCAUAGAUAUAACGCAGAACUCCGAUUGCGAAGGCAGCAUACCGGCGCGCAACUGACGCUCAUGCACGAAAGCGUGGGUAUCGAACAGGAUUAGAUACCCCGGUAGUC